UAGUGACACCGCGUGUGGCUCUCAGGUUACUGUCGUCAGGUUACUGUCUCACACCCUCGCAUCCUACGGGGAGAACAGAGCUGCAGUGCAAUCUCGGACUGGUAAAGGUUGGUGGAGAAGCAAAAAAGAGGCGCCAUGUUGUGACUGAUUUUCUCAGCCGUGAGAUACAUGGCUGACUUGGUGACGUCUUGCUGCUGCACCAAGAAGGUGAAGGCGGCAGCACCAGGCUGAUUCACCAGGUGUAAAGGACAGCAGCAAGUGUGGACGGUCUCAAAGGACAAAACCCCACUCGCCUCCUAAUUCUGCGUACUACUACUGUACUAGUGUUUGUUCCAAUGAUGACUUUUCCGGAAACUUCCUCUCAGGAAGUCGGAUCAUGUUUGAUAGCUGACUAACACAACAACAAUUCUGGUAGAAUGUAUUCUCAUGUGUUUAAAAUAAUCUAGUAAUUGUAAAUAAACAGUUAUGGGGAUCCAA